GGCCGGGGUAGGCUGUCAUUGUAAAUAAUGAUUUGUUCUUAACUGACUUACCUAGUAAUUUUUUUUUUUUCAAAAACAGAUACACAAACAAAUAGGUAACGUUAAGUGGGCUCUCACUAUAAGAUGGCAUUAUGAAGGUAAACCCAGACCAAGACAGGGCCAAGCCAAACCCAGGCCAGACCCAGAACAGAACAGGCCAGGCACAGAACAAACCAAGCCAGACACAGACUGGGACAGACCAGUUAAUAAGACCCAGGCCAGAUCCAGGACCAACCAGGAUCGCUGGAGACGAGAAGAGGGUACAGGGAGUGAACAUUUAAUAACCAUGGACAGGAACAGAAUACAGACAGCGUCUGGACAGGGGAAACGGAAACGACAAUAAUUCUGACACGUGGAUGAAACAGAGGAAACAGACAUAUAUGGGGAAGGCAAUCAAAACGUGCAGGAGUCCUGACCAUUUCCGGAGACCUUCUCCCCUACCUCACCUCGCUCAUCAACUCAUCCUUGACCGCUGGCUACGUCCCUUCCGUCUUCAAGAGAGCAAGAGUUGCACCCCUUCUGAAAAAACCUACACUCGAUCCCUCCGAUGUCAACAACUACAGACCAGUAUCCCUUCUUUCCUUUCUCUCCAAAACUCUUGAACGCGC
rnacentral:lncRNA from 1 species